rnacentral:rRNA from 1 species
AGGGUGUAAACGCUGCAGACUUGGUGUUGGAGGCCCUUUGGGGGCAUUCAGUGCCGGAGAGAAGUUGUUAAGUCUGCUACUUGGGGAGUACGUCCGCAAGGAUGAAACUUAAAGGAAUUGGCGGGGGGAGGCACCGCAACGGGAGGAGCGUGCGGUUUAAUUGGAUUCAACACCGUAAACUCACCAGGGAAGACUGUUACAUGAAGGCCGAGAUGAAGACUCUGCUAGAUUUUCAGAGAGGUGGUGCAUGGCGUCAGUGACU